rnacentral:sRNA from 1 species
GCUGGGUGUGGUAGUGUGCGCCUGUAAUCCCAGCACUUUGGGAGGCCAAGAUGGGGGGAUCACUUGAGCCCAGGAGUUCCAGGCCAACCAGGGCAACAUAGUGAGACCUCAUCUUUU